rnacentral:rRNA from 1 species
GAUGAACGCUGGCGGCGUGCCUAAUACAUGCAAGUCGAGCGAACAGACGAGGAGCUUGCUCCUCUGACGUUAGCGGCGGACGGGUGAGUAACACGUGGAUAACCUACCUAUAAGACUGGGAUAACUUCGGGAAACCGGAGCUAAUACCGGAUAAUAUAUUGAACCGCAUGGUUCAAUAGUGAAAGACGGUUUUGCUGUCACUUAUAGAUGGAUCCGCGCCGCAUUAGCUAGUUGGUAAGGUAACGGCUUACCAAGGCAACGAUGCGUAGCCGACCUGAGAGAGGGAUCGGCCACCCUGGAACGGAGACACGGUCCAGGCGCCUACGGGAGGCAGCAGUAGGGAAUCUGCCGCAAUGGGCGAAAGCCUGACGGAGCAACGCCGCGUGAGUGAUGAAGGUCUUCGGAUCGUAAAACUCUGUUAUUAGGGAAGAACAAAUGUGUAAGUAACUAUGCACGUCUUGACGGUACCUAAUCAGAAAGCCACGGCUAACUACGUG